CCUACGGGAGGCAGCAGUGAGGAAUAUUGGUCAAUGGGCGCGAGCCUGAACCAGCCAAGUAGCGUGAGGGAAGACGGUCCUAUGGAUUGUAAACCUCUUUUAUCGGGGAGCAAAAGACGCCACGCGUGGCGUUCCGCGAGUACCCUACGAAAAAGCAUCGGCUAACUCCGUGCCAGCAGCCGCGGUAAUACGGAGGAUGCGAGCGUUAUCCGGAUUUAUUGGGUUUAAAGGGUGCGCAGGCGGAAGAUCAAGUCAGCGGGAAAAUUGAGAGGCUCAACCUCUACGAGCCGUUGAAACUGGGUGUCUUGAGUGAGUGAGAAGUAGGCGGAAUGCGUGGUGUAGCGGUGAAAUGCAUAGAUAUCACGCAGAACUCCGAUUGCGAAGGCAGCAUACCGGAGCGCAACUGACGCUCAUGCACGAAAGUGUGGGUAUCGAACAGGAUUAGAUACCCCAGUAGUC
rnacentral:rRNA from 1 species